rnacentral:lncRNA from 1 species
GUUGUUUGGAAAAGCCAAUAUGCAAACUGCUCAGUCUGCGCCUGGCCCCCGCCCCACGAGGCCCCAUUAGCAGCCACUUUCCCAAAACAGCCCGCCCUGCUUUGGAAGGUUCCUUUCUAUUCAACCCGAGCAGGGCCCAGCAGCAGCCUGCUUGCCAGGCCCUGAGCUCGGAAAGACAAAGGGCCGCGAUUGAAUUUUCUCGGCGGCGCAGAAUCUGAAGAUGUUGUUUACUCUAGAGAAUGAGCUGAAGUUCCCGGCCCGAGGGUGCAGUCUCUAGCCGCUCACCCGCCAUUAGUCAUAACUUAAUAAAAGCCCUAAACUAGCGGAAGAGCCGGCUGCAAAGGCGCAGAGAUUGCCUUAGUUCACCCCAAGAAAAGGGGUUUCUUCAUCUCAUUUUAUUUUCUAGAAAAUGCCAUCUGAAAUGAGGUCCAGCAUCCAGCAGAGGCAGACUUGGGGACUUGAAGAGGUGGAUUCGAAUCCUGCUCUGGUUUUUAUUAGCAGUAGGACCUGAUGUGGUUUCCUGCAGUUAGAGCUGAAGCGGUUCUCUCAGAAAUGACAGCAUAGCGGACACGUCUGGUUUCCUCCCGUGUUUAUCCUUUUGAAAGAACCCCCAUUUUCGUCUAGGAUCCACCUGCCCUCCUGGGUCUAGAGUGAGAUCCUGAUUGCUUCAAGUCAGUAGUGGUGCUCCCCACCCCUGCCUCGGGGGCCAUAUGAUACAACUCUAGUCAGAGCUUUGAGUGGAAAUAGUCCUAGGAGUUUCUAGGAAUAAUUCCCCCCCCCCUUUAAGAAAGAGUCCCAUGGAAGCCAAGAGGUAAGUCUGCCUGAAGAAGCUAACAUGCUGAAGUUGUCAAGAGUGAAAGAAAAGAGGGGAGGGGGUUGUUGAUACUGAAAGAACAGGAUAGCCACAGGGCUUGGUGAAGCCUAAACUUCUAUGCCUGGGAGCCCCAAGAACCCCAGGAGAGAAACAAGUAUGGAAAAAAGAAUGGAAAAAAGGUUUCUAAAGACAGGUUUAACUGUGAAAGGAAGAUCCACCCUAAUGUUGACAGCACCAUCCUGUGCUUCAGGGCCCAGACUGAAUAAAAAGGAAAAGGGAAAAUGGGAAGCUGAGCUCCAGCCUUCAUCUCUGCUCCCUGCAUCUCUCACAUUCAAGCCACCGAGGAGCCUUCUCUGCCACGAUGGACUGCAUCUUCAACUGUGAGCCAAAUACUUCCUUCCUCAAGGUGCUUGCCAGACUAUGGGUAUGAUGAUAGCUGCUUCAAGCUCCUGCUGCCUUGAGUACUCUACAGCAGACCUGCAAUUCUGAA